rnacentral:lncRNA from 1 species
AGAAACCCUACCCAUUGCUCGUCCACCCAGUCCCCGCCGCUGCCCCGUGAGUGGCCUCGGAAUAGGCUGAUCUAGAUCAACCAUGUACUCUAGAUCAGCCAUUGCGUGGGUGGACUGUCUAGUUUUCUAUCUACUUGUGUUGCACCAUGUGGUGCUUGGUGGUGGAUUGCAUGAUGUAAUUUUUCUCAUCUUACGUGAUGCUAUGUAAAUAUAUGAUCUUAUGUGCUGCUGGAUUGAGUUAUUAUGCAAUUGAAAAUGAGCUGUUUGUGCUACAAUAAUUGUUUUGGGUGAAAUGUGCUACAAUAAUAGUCUGGCUGCUGGAUGUGAUGGAAUAAUAGGCUGAAAAAAUUAAAUUGA